AUCUUUGCGCAGUGGCAGUAUCAUAACCAAUGAGGUUUAUCCGAGGCAUGAUUAUUGCUAAUUGAAAACUUUACCCAAUACCCCGCCUUGACGAUUUGAAAUACAAUCGGCAAUGGCAUUUUUGACAGUCUCUCUGGAGA
rnacentral:snRNA from 1 species